rnacentral:rRNA from 1 species
AGCGAACGCUGGCGGCAGGCCUAACACAUGCAAGUCGAACGAAGCCUUCGGGCUUAGUGGCGGACGGGUGAGUAACACGUGGGAACGUACCUUUUGGUUCGGAAUAACGCAGAGAAAUUUGCGCUAAUACCGGAUGAGCCCUUCGGGGGAAAGAUUUAUCGCCGAAAGAUCGGCCCGCGUUGGAUUAGGUAGUUGGUGUGGUAAAGGCGCACCAAGCCUACGAUCCAUAGCUGGUCUGAGAGGAUGAUCAGCCACACUGGGACUGAGACACGGCCCAGACUCCUACGGGAGGCAGCAGUGGGGGAUCUUGCGCUAAUGCGCGAAAGCGUGACGCAGCGACGCCGCGUGGGGGAUGAAGGCCCUCGGGUUGUAAACCCCUUUCGGCAGGGACGAAGCGAGAGUGACGGUACCUGCAGAAGAAGUUCCGGCUAACUACGUGCCAGCCGCCGCGGUAAUAC